ensembl:lncRNA
UAGAUUUAUAUAUUGUGCGUAAAAAGAGACGAAAGGCGGGUUCGGGUGAGUCUGCAAGUACAGACACCUGUACAGACACCGGUAUAGACACAGGAAAAGGUACUAUUACUGACUCAGAUAGUGAGUCAGGUAGUGAUACCACAACUACUACCACUACUACUACUACUACCACUACCACUACCACUGCCACCAUUACCACCACCAACAACAACAACAACAACAACAACAACAAUGGAAUACAAGAACAAAAAUCCAAAAGAGAUAAAUUAUAUGUCAAAAAUAAUAAAAUCAUAAUAGACAACGCUAAUAACUAUGAGCAUUUUUGUUUACUCAUUUUUGGAGGGUAUGGUGGAUAUGAUGGUUAUGAUAGAUGUAGUUAUAAUGAUUUUUAUGAAUAUAAUUUUAUAACUAAUGAGUGGGUAGAAAAAAUUUGUAAAGGUUCUUUACCAACUAAGAGGUAUGGACAUGUUUCUUUUAUAAAGGGUAAUAAUCUAUUUAUAUUGGGAGGUACUAAUGAUGAAGUUAGUUUUAAUGAUAUGUAUGCAUGCGACUUGAAGAAAAAUGAAUGGCAUGAAAUAGAUUUUUCUUAUUCUUUUAAUUCUUCUAAAGUUUUUUGUAAUAGUAUAUUAGUAAAAUCAAUAGAUACAAAUAUAGUUUUUAUUUUUGGUGGUUAUAAUAUAAUUAGUGAUGACAAAGGGCAUCGUAAGGUUGAUUAUAGUAGUAGUGCUGAAUUAAAUAUGAUAAAAUUGUAUGAUACGUUUAAAUUGGAAGAGUUGAAGUAUAAUUUGGUUAGAUGUAAAGAUAAGAAAAGUGGGGGAAUGGUCGAGGGUUUCAGUUCUAGUUCUAGUAUCAGUUCCAGUUCUAGUAUCAGUUCCAGUUCCAACACCCAUUGUAAACAAUCCAUGCGACAAGCCGAAAUAAAUAAAAACGAAAAAGAUGACAAAGAAGAAGGUAUGUGCGACCGUAUGACCAAUGGUGACGAUACUACUAGUUGCGAAUACGGAUAUAACAGCGUUUCGAAAUAUAAAAUGUUAGAGAAAAUAGCAUUUAGUACAAUUACAUAUGAUUUUGUAAAUGCUAAUUUAAUAAUUAUGGAUUCAAAAAAAAAAAUAUAUGUUAUGAAUCUUACGAAAAUUAUCGGACCUAGCUAUGUUAUUUUUAAUAUUUGGCCAAAAUAUUGUAACAUAAAUGGUAAUCAAAAAAUUUUAUUGACAGGUCAUGGUUUUACAAAUCAAGGACAAAUAAAUAUAAAAUAUAAUUUUGAUAAUGUAGAAUUAUUUAGUGAAGGUAUUUAUAUAAAUAAACACAAUAUAUAUACUAUUGUUCCUAAUAUAAAAAAUAAAUUAAAAAACAUUUGUAAUAUUCAACUAUCUAUUAACAAUAAAUGUUAUACUACUAAUAUUUGUCCUUUACAAUUCUAUCAUAGUAUAGAUCCUAAAAACACAUUAAUUUUCGGUAAUGGAUUAUUAGAACCUGUUUCUUUAAACGAAUCUAACUUUUUUUUUUUAAUAGCUAGAGAUAGUUUAAACGAGAAUAAAACGAUUGGUGGUGAUAAAUUUGUAAUGACUAUUGUACAUAAGCUGGCCGGAUCAAAAAAAUCAGACAA